ensembl:lncRNA ABCC5-AS1 ABCC5 antisense RNA 1
UCUUAACCCUGUCCAGAAAAUCUGCUGAGUCACCGAGUAUCAAUCAAGAGAAAAAUAAUGCAGAGCUGCAAAAUGCUAAUCUCCUUCCUCCUGCUCUCCUUCCUAACAGCAAGCCGACUCACAGGGUACUCAAAGCCCAGCGGUGCCUACCUGCUGUUCUUCUCCACUUCGUAGAGGAAAAGCUCGCUGCUGCCACUGCAAACCCUGAUGUCAACUCUACUCUCACAAGCUGGGGACCCUAUCCCCAGAAAUUUCACAGGACCACACACCAGCUCCACAGCCUCCACCUUCUCCUGCUCUGCAAGCCAUCCUUGGGUUUUUUUCUGCAUUGCUUCAAGACUAAUCUAAGAUAAAAAUCUACUCUCAAACAUCGUAGCCAUUAGGGAACUGCAAAUUAAAACCACAAUCAGAUACCAGGCACAUCUAUAGGAAUGGCUAAAAUAAACAUUAUAACAUUGAGUACUGGCAA